AAAUUGAAGAGUUUGAUCAUGGCUCAGAUUGAACGCUGGCGGCAGGCCUAACACAUGCAAGUCGAACGGUAACAGGAAGCAGCUUGCUGCUUUGCUGACGAGUGGCGGACGGGUGAGUAAUGUCUGGGAAACUGCCUGAUGGAGGGGGAUAACUACUGGAAACGGUGGCUAAUACCGCAUAACGUCGCAAGACCAAAGAGGGGGACCUUCGGGCCUCUUGCCAUCAGAUGUGCCCAGAUGGGAUUAGCUUGUUGGUGAGGUAACGGCUCACCAAGGCGACGAUCCCUAGCUGGUCUGAGAGGAUGACCAGCCACACUG
rnacentral:rRNA from 1 species